GCCUAUACACACUCCCCGGCCACUUUAUUAGGUUCACCUGUUCAUAGGCUCCUUAACACGAUUCAGCCAAUUGCAUGUAAGCAGCUCAUCGCAUUUAGGUUUGUAGACGUGGUCAAGACGACCUGCUGAAGUUCAAACCGCGCAGCAGAAUGGGUGAUUCAAGUGACUUUGAACGUGGUGUGGUUGUUGGUGCCAGACGGGCUGAUCUACUGUGCUCUACUCCCACAAACAUCUUACAGGGUUUACAGAGACUGGUCUGGAGAAAAUAUCGAGUGAGUAGCAGUGAAAUGCAUUGUAAAUGCAAGAGAUCAGAGGAGCUCAAAUACAACCAAGAACAGGAAGAACUGAGGCUAUGAUUAGCACAGACUGACAAACUGGACAACAGAAAGCUGGAAAGCAUUACCUGGUCUGAUGAGUCUUAUCUCUUCUGCUGCAACAUUAAGAUGCACAUCAGUCCUAUGACGGCUGCAUCCAGGAGGAUAAAAUGCACCCGAGUUCACUCUACACAGACGGACUCCAAAGUCACCGGAUCUCAACCCAACAGAGCACCUUUGGGAUGUGGUGGAACACAACAACAUGGAUGUGCAGCCAACAAAUCUACAACUGUGUGAUCAUGUUAAUAUAGACCAAGGAUCUCUCAGUAUCUUAUUGAGUCUUUGCCAUGAAGAAUGAAGGCAGCACUGAAGGGAAGAACCUAGUGCCAGCAAGAUGUACCUAAUAAAGUGACCAGUGGAAGUAUCUAAAUUUUAUAUUAUGCUUUUUCCAAUUAUUUUAUUUCAUUUAUACAAAAUUGCAUGACAUUUUGUCUCUCUCUCACACAAACACACACACAAAAUCUCAAAGCUUCCAAAUUGAAAUAGAAAGGGGAUAGAGGAGGAGUAAGAGGCACUACAAUCAGUUGCAUCCCUUUAUUAACUGAUCCAGCAAUCACAGCUCACUGGGGGACUCUUAAAAAUCAUCCCACAGAAAAACAUGGCAGUUUUGGUUUCAAUGUAGCAAGGACAAAAGAGGUUUCAACUCCAUUCAGUGCAUUCCUGAGUCAAAGAACAAAAAACACAUAUCUGGACUUCCCUUUAAAUGUGACAAGUAAAACUUACUGCUCGUCUAAGUAUGUCCUAAUCCACAGUGGUAGGUACUUGAUUUGAAGUACUUACUGGCAGUUAGAGCUUGAAUAUUCAAAAGGCAGCUAAUCAGUGACUGCUUAAAUCAGCAAACAUAAAAGAGUGGUGAUGUUGGGGAGUGGCAUCAAAAGAGCAGCAUUACUGUUUCCCUUCAAUUAAAAAUCCAUUUUAAGAGCUGUAAACAAGUGUAAUUCAUACAAACAUAAAAUCUUUGAUACCCAAAUUCUAAAUUUUUACAUUUGGGAGCAAAAACUAUUAAAAAAAAAAAAAAAAAA